GUUGCGCGGCCAGGUUUCGAUCCUGGGACCUACGGGUUAUGAGCCCGUCGGAGUUCCACUCUCCUACCGCGCACAAAUACCGUCACCAGCAGGAUUUGAACCUGCGCGGGCAGAGCCCAUUAGAUGCCACGAAUGUAGGAAUUCGAGUCUAACUCCUUAACCACUCGGACAUAGUGACUUAUCUGACACUCAUUGUAAAUUAAUAUA